rnacentral:rRNA from 1 species
CGGCAGCACGGGUGCUUGCACCUGGUGGCGAGUGGCGAACGGGUGAGUAAUGCGUCGGAACGUACCGAGUAGUGGGGGAUAACGCAGCGAAAGUUGUGCUAAUACCGCAUAUUCUGUGAGCAGGAAAGCGGGGGAUCUUCGGACCUCGCGCUAUUCGAGCGGCCGACGUCUGAUUAGCUAGUUGGUGGGGUAAUGGCUCACCAAGGCGACGAUCAGUAGCGGGUCUGAGAGGAUGAUCCGCCACACUGGGACUGAGACACGGCCCAGACUCCUACGGGAGGCAGCAGUGGGGAAUUUUGGACAAUGGGCGAAAGCCUGAUCCAGCCAUGCCGCGUGUCUGAAGAAGGCCUUCGGGUUGUAAAGGACUUUUGUCAGGGAGGAAAUCCCCAGGGCUAAUACCCUUGGGGGAUGACAGUACCUGAAGAAUAAGCACCGGCUAACUACGUGCCAGCAGCCGCGGUAAUACGUAGGGUGCAAGCGUUAAUCGGAAUUACUGGGCGUAAAGCGUGCGCAGGCGGUUGGUUAAGCAAGAUGUGAAAGCCCCGGGCUCAACCUGGGAACUGCGUUUUGAACUGGCCAGCUAGAGUACGUCAGAGGGGGGUGGAAUUCCGCGUGUAGCAGUGAAAUGCGUAGAGAUGCGGAGGAACACC